CCCGAUGUGGCUCAGCGGACAAAGAAGCAGUCUCACAAUCUGCCGGUCAAUGGUUCGAGUCCAUCCAUCGGGA
rnacentral:tRNA from 1 species